GGGCCUAAUUCAGUGUUUCACAUGGCCUAGGCACUUCCACACAGGUAAUCCACACGCCUUUGUGUGACACACGGGCAGCCUACACGCCCGUGUGUCAUGGUCAUGUCGACAUUAAACCAAGUCAAAAUUGCACACGGCCUGAGCACCUUCACAUGGGUGUGUCAUACGGCCGUGUCCUUGUCGAGCUCAAGUCUAAUUCUA
rnacentral:lncRNA from 1 species